rnacentral:rRNA from 1 species
AGUGAACGCUGGCGGUAGGCCUAACACAUGCAAGUCGAACGGCAGCACAGUAAGAGCUUGCUCUUACGGGUGGCGAGUGGCGGACGGGUGAGGAAUACAUCGGAAUCUACUUUUUCGUGGGGGAUAACGUAGGGAAACUUACGCUAAUACCGCAUACGACCUACGGGUGAAAGCAGGGGAUCUUCGGACCUUGCGCGAUUGAAUGAGCCGAUGUCGGAUUAGCUAGUUGGCGGGGUAAAGGCCCACCAAGGCAACGAUCCGUAGCUGGUCUGAGAGGAUGAUCAGCCACACUGGAACUGAGACACGGUCCAGACUCCUACGGGAGGCAGCAGUGGGGAAUAUUGGACAAUGGGCGCAAGCCUGAUCCAGCCAUACCGCGUGGGUGAAGAGGGCCUUCGGGUUGUAAAGCCCUUUUGUUGGGAAAGAAAAGCAGCAGGUUAAUACCCCGCUGUUCUGACGGUACCCAAAGAAUAAGCACCGGCUAACUUCGU